GCAACAGCCUGGAGGGUGUGGGGCGUGGGGGACGGACAGACGACAGACACGGGACAAGCCAGGAGGAAAGGGCUCUGACAGCGCCCAUCUGGCCUGCACGAAGCAUGCCUCCUUGAAGAUGCGGAUGGGCCUUCGUUUGUAAGGAAUACUGGAGGCGGCCGCAGAGAAGGCGUUGGGAACCCCUCCACCUCCGUGCCCUCCAGAAAGGUAGCGGGACAGUGGGAGAUAAGGUGGAGGAGGCGGACUGUGAGACCCGGGGUUUGGGGGAGCCAGGAGGGGCGCUGUGAUCCUCCCAUCCUAGUGCACCAAGCACUGAGACCGCCACGACGCGGACCUACGGCGAGGGUGGGAAGGAGCGGAUGGGAGUGCCCCUCUCUUCCCCCCCGCCGACCCUCGCCCACUCUUGUGUGAAGCCGCUGCCAAGGGUGGAGUCGGGAGAAGGAGCUGAGAACCCCGUUCCCACUGAGCAGGAAGGGAAAGAAGUCCGCAAUUGAGAGAGAUUCGACCCUCCCCUGAUGUAACCGUCACAGAGGAGACGGACCAAUGGGCAGCUGGCUCUGCUGUGAUGGACAGGGGCUGGAUUUUUAAGACCCCUGGGUUAGGAUUCCCAGGGAACUGGACCCUGAAUCACCUGGAUCUGUGCCUCCCAGGAAGCUGUGUUGUAACUACUCGAAACUGCGCUGCACGUGUGAAAACGUGAACUUGCGGUUCGUGGCCUCAGGUGAGAGUUCUCAGCUUGCUCCUGUGAAGAUUCCUUCCUGUCCACGACCCAGCUUUGCCUGUGCCCUGCUGACAGCUCCAUGAGGUUGGGGAGUGAGGGAUCUCGGCUCAGGGCUCUGGGCUGAGAGAUGACCCAGGGGUCCACCUUGACCCUGGGGCUCCUGGAGGCUUGGGGCCCUGAAGUGUAUGCAGAGUGAGGGGGGCGGGGUCCCUGUCCUAUCCAGACCCUGACCCCGAAUGAAGCCUCAUUGUAGGGGCUGGGGCAGAAUGACCCAGCGAUUUCCUGGAAGGCCAGAGACCCGAGGGUGACCGUCAAGGUGGCCUUAAAGGUAACACUUCCCCUCCUGAGGGAGGUCAUGAUCCUUGCGUGUGAGGGUCCUCAGAGGAAGUAGAGGCCUUGUUCUCGGAGAUGGUGGGGGGAGGCACAACGUGGGAGGAAAGGGAUGGGCAGAGGAAAGUCACGGGCGGCCCCGGCCACCGCCUCCCUCCAGCGUCUGCGUGCCCGGCUCUUUUCGGAGACGCCAGCUCAGUCCCCCACCCCCCACAAAAGACAGCGCCGCGCCCAGACCCUCACCUUCUCAGGGUUUAUUUCCAGCCCCGCCCCUCCGAGGCCUGGCCACGCCCCCCAGCCCGCACCGCGACGCCGGGGACCUCAGGCGGUGCUCUGCAAGCGGCAGCAGCGAGCUCCGGUCCAGUCCAUGGCCGCGCACUGACAGUGGCAUGUGGCCUCGGCGCGCACGUCCCACGAGCCACAGGCGGAGCCACAAGUGCAGGCGGUGACGGCGAAGCCUGCGGGCGGAGCGGAGGGAGUCUGGACGCGGGCGGGAGGCUACCGGCCUGGGGGUCCGGGGGGAAGCCAAGGAAUGAAUGGGAGCCGGAUUGCGUGGGCGGCUGGGGGCCUGGGCUCCAGUGUCCUAAGCUGUCCCGGAGCUGGGGCCGCAGACCAGCACCCUGGGGAAGUUGACUCAAGAAAUAGAGGCUGGACUUAGGGGGAGGGGUUCCUGGGUGCUGGGAACAGAAGCGAGAGCCUGGAAAAGGUCUUCGGUACUCACCUGCGGGGCAGGUGGCCAGGUCCCCCCUGGAGGUGACGCUCCGGCAGCUCAGGCCAAAGUUCCUCCUUGUCUCAAGAACUGCGGGAGGGAGGAGGGAAGGAAGCCCUGAGACCAAGCUGCCCCUGUUCUCAUGUGGCCUUGGCCCUGGUGGUUUGGAGAUAGGCAGGGGGUCAAGAAAACUCUCCUGAGGAAGGCCCAGGUGGGCCAGGCCCUGGUGGAGAGCCAUGAGAUGGGAAGCUCAUCACCUCCCAGGUUCUGUCUUGAGAUGGGUGUUUUGGAGGAAGGAGGAUUUGGAGCUUCUGCCAAAGAUGGAGCUGGAUGGGGGCUGGGGUUGGCUUGGGUUUGGGGUGGAGGUUUGGUUCUGGUUGGGGCUGAAUUGAUGGCUGCUCCAUGUCAGGAAUUAGAGGGGGCCUCUGAGGCCCCUGCUGAGGUUGCAAGUGAGGGUCCUCACUUAAGGAUCUGGUGCCAUCCUGGAUCUUCUCAUUGAUGGCUUCAUCCACUGGACACAGAGACUUGCCACACACCAGCUGCCCCAGGACAGGGAGGAGGAGGAGGGCAAGAGCCUUCAUCCGGCAGGUGCUGCAAGACGGAACCAACAGCCGGGUCAGUCCCUUCUCAUCUGGGGAGGGUCAAGCCUCCAGAGCAGGCUUCUGCUGGAUGUGGAGCUUCCUGUCUUAGCUGAGUGUCUUGGCUCCCUGGCCAUCCCCUCCCACAUCCGGGACCAAGAGGAAGCCCCCAGGGCAGACUCUAGGGGCCCAGAGUGGAACAAUCUGCAACAGACGGUGGCAAACUUGCAGCCCAUGGGACAAAUCUGGCCCACUGUCUAUUUCUGUGCAACCCAUGAGCUAAGAAUGGUUUUUACAUUUUGGGGGGUUUUUUUGGUUUUUGUUUUUAAUACAAAUGGAUUUUUAAA